rnacentral:rRNA from 1 species
GGGUAGCGGAACACGUACAGAACCUUCCUUUAAGCGGGGGAUAGCCCGGAGAAAUCCGGAUUAAUACCCCAUAGUAAUGCUAAGUGGCAUCACUUGAUAUUUAAAGAUUUAUCACUUAGAGAUGGCUGUGCGGCUGAUUAGGUAGUUGGUGCGGGUAAAGGCCCACCAAGCCAGCGAUCAGUAACUGGCCUGAGAGGGCGAUCGGUCACACCGGAACUGAGACACGGUCCGG